CCAUGCUUCACUGCAGUAUGAUUCUUAAUAUUCUUCUGUUCUGAUUCUUCUUCUAUAAGAACCCUCUUAUACAACCCCUUCUUCUGAUCUUCUUUCUCUUUCUUUUCUUAAUUGAUUCAUAAACUGUUAUCAGAAUAGUGUCAAGUUCAUUGAUAUUGCCAUUGAAACAGAUCAUAUGAACUGCACAGGCAGUACAAACAGUUUAAUCUGCAAUAUUAAUAACAUCUGCUUAAUUGGUGACACACCCAUCACAUUACAAAUCAAUUCAUCUGUGUUGGCUCAAGUGCCCCAUGUUUAUGAUCACAUCUAGAUGCUCAAGUUAAAGUUUAAGAAUAAGUUAUCCA
rnacentral:sRNA from 2 species